rnacentral:misc_RNA from 1 species
UUAAGUUCAGCGGGUAAUCCUGCCUGAUCUGAGGUCUAAUCAUAAAAUUGACUAGUAGGAUUGGAAGCGUCUACUGUUAUCAUAAUUACGGCCACCGGUAAAGGUGUCCUCAGCGAAUAGUCUAUUACGCUGAGUCAAUCCGAAAUUUCGAAAUCGAGAUGCUAAUGUAUUACGAGCGAGCUAUGUCCGAAAACAAAGCA